UACAGAGGGGGCAAGCGUUGUUCGGAAUUACUGGGCGUAAAGGGCGCGUAGGCGGCCUUCUAAGUCGAACGUGAAAUCCCUGGGCUCAACCCAGGAACUGCGUCCGAUACUGGAAGGCUUGAAUCCGGGAGAGGGAUGCGGAAUUCCAGGUGUAGCGGUGAAAUGCGUAGAUAUCUGGAGGAACACCGGUGGCGAAGGCGGCAUCCUGGACCGGCAUUGACGCUGAGGCGCGAAAGCUAGGGGAGCAAACGGG
rnacentral:rRNA from 1 species